GGCGGCGUAGCUCAGCUGGCUAGAGCAUUCGGUUCAUACCCGGAGUGUCAAGAGUUCGAAUCUCCUCGCCGCCACCA
rnacentral:tRNA from 1 species